CUUAUACAGACGGGAAGAAUAAGAAAUGAACAGCACCAGUUUGGCUGCUAUGUGACUUUUUAUUUAUUGUUAUCACUGGUUAUGGAAUUCUUGACCAAAGGGAAUGCCUUGAUAGCUCAAGUGAUUAGAGAACCAAAAGAAGAAAGGAGGAACUACGAGGAGUUUCGACUAUUGUAUUACAAUGAAUUACGAGAUUGAGGUUAUUGGAGGUCAUUUGGCCGGUGUUCUAGAUGUUGCAAGGUUGAGGAAAUUGUCAUUAAUGAGUAUUUUGUAUAGAUUGAGGUUAUUGGAUGUCAUUUGGCUGAUGUUCUAGAUGUUGCAAGGUUGAGGAAAUUAUCAUUAAUGAGAUACCGUUGCGGGAGAUAGAGCUAGUGGCUGAAGAGUUUGUUCGAGUGGAUCCUAUUGCUGAGGUGAGCCAGCGCAUUGUUCGUGGAGGCUUUCGUUUCAGACUUACCUCGUGUUAGUUUUUUUUUUCUCUUUGGGGUUUGCAAACCCGUCAAUAAACCUCAUAUUACUCUGUUAGAUGCUCCAUGGUCUUAGUGUGGGAUUUCGGCUAGAGUUUUAUUAAUUGAGUGAUUGUUGGUUUUUCUA